CCUACGGGCGGCAGCAGUGGGGGAUAUUGCACAAUGGAGGAAACUCUGAUGCAGCGACGCCGCGUGAGUGAAGAAGUAUUUCGGUAUGUAAAGCUCUAUCAGCAGGGAAGAUGAUGACGGUACCUGACUAAGAAGCCCCGGCUAACUACGUGCCAGCAGCCGCGGUAAUACGUAGGGGGCAAGCGUUAUCCGGAUUUACUGGGUGUAAAGGGAGCGCAGGCGGUUUGGCAAGUUGAGAGUGGAAGCAGGGGGCUCAACCCCCUGACUGCUCCCAAAACUGUUAAACUUGAGUAUGGGAGAGGCAGGCGGAAUUCCUAGUGUAGCGGUGAAAUGCUUAGAUAUUAGGAAGAACACCGGUGGCGAAGGCGGCCUGCUGGACCAAAACUGACGCUGAGGCUCGAAAGCGUGGGUAGCAAACAGGAUUAGAUACCCCUGUAGUC
rnacentral:rRNA from 1 species